rnacentral:rRNA from 1 species
CACGUAGGGUGCGAGCGUUGUCCGGAAUUAUUGGGCGUAAAGAGCUCGUAGGCGGUGUGUCGCGUCGGCCGUGAAAACCUGCAGCUUAACUGUGGGCUUGCGGUCGAUACGGGCAUCACUGGAGUUCGGCAGGGGAGACUGGAAUUCCUGGUGUAGCGGUGAAAUGCGCAGAUAUCAGGAGGAACACCGGUGGCGAAGGCGGGUCUCUGGGCCGAUACUGACGCUGAGGAGCGAAAGCGUGGGGAGCGAACAGGAUUAG